rnacentral:rRNA from 1 species
GACGAACGCUGGCGGCGUGCUUAACACAUGCAAGUCGAACGGAAAUGCCCUGCUUUUGUGGGGUGCUCGAGUGGCGAACGGGUGAGUAACACGUGAGUAACCUGCCCUUGACUUUGGGAUAACUUCAGGAAACUGGGGCUAAUACCGGAUAGGAGCUCCUGCUGCAUGGUAGGGUUUGGAAAGUUUCGGCGGUUGGGGAUGUACUCGCGGCUUAUCAGCUUGUUGGUGGGGUAGUGGCUUACCAAGGCUUUGACGUGUAGCCGGCCUGAGAGGGUGACCGGCCACAUUGGGACUGAGAUACGGCCCAGACUCCUACGGGAGGCAGCAGUGGGGAAUAUUGCACAAUGGGCGGAAGACUGAUGCAGCAACGCCGCGUGCGGGAUGACGGCCUUCGGGUUGUAAACCGCUUUCGCCUGUGACGAAGCGUGAGUGACGGUAAUGGGUAAAGAAGCACCGGCUAACUACGUG